rnacentral:rRNA from 1 species
UACGUAGGGGGCAAGCGUUGUCCGGAUUUAUUGGGCGUAAAGAGCGUGUAGGCGGCCGCACAGGUCCGUUGUGAAAACUGGAGGCUUAACCUUCAGACGUCGAUGGAAACCGUGCGGCUAGAGUCCGGAAGAGGAGAGUGGAAUUCCUGGUGUAGCGGUGAAAUGCGCAGAUAUCAGGAAGAACACCCGUGGCGAAGACGGCUCUCUGGGACGGUACUGACGCUGAGACGCGAAAGCGUGGGGAGCGAACAGG